rnacentral:rRNA from 1 species
UACAGAGGGGGCGAGCGUUGUUCGGAAUUACUGGGCGUAAAGGGCGCGUAGGCGGCCGACUAAGUCAGACGUGAAAUCCCCCGGCUCAACCGGGGAACUGCGUCUGAUACUGGCUGGCUUGAAUCCGGGAGAGGGAUGUGGAAUUCCAGGUGUAGCGGUGAAAUGCGUAGAUAUCUGGAGGAACACCGGUGGCGAAGGCGGCAUCCUGGACCGGUAUUGACGCUGAAACGCGAAAGCCAGGGGAGCAAACGGG